rnacentral:rRNA from 1 species
CACGUAGGGCGCAAGCGUUGUCCGGAAUUAUUGGGCGUAAAGAGCUCGUAGGCGGUCUGUUGCGUCCGCUGUGAAAACCCGGGGCUUAACCCUGGGCUGGCAGUGGAUACGGACAGACUAGAGGUAGGUAGGGGAGAAUGGAAUUCCCGGUGUAGCGGUGAAAUGCGCAGAUAUCGGGAGGAACACCGGUGGCGAAGGCGGCCCCCUGGACCGGUACUGACGCUGAGGCGCGAAAGCGUGGGUAGCAAACGGG